UNUGAGCUGGCUAGGUUUGUGUGUCCAUC
rnacentral:piRNA from 1 species